rnacentral:tRNA from 1 species
GCCUCUGUGACGCAAUUGGCUAGCGCGUUCGGCUGUAAGCCGAGAGGUUAGUGGUUCAAUCCCACCCAGGGGCG